UCCGGCUUGUCGCCGGCGGUCCCUUUAGCGUGCCCAACUUAAUGAUGGCAACUAAAGGCAAGGGUUGCGCUCGUUGCGGGACUUAACCCAACAUCUCACGACACGAGCUGUCGACAGCCAUGCAGCACCUGAACCGGAGGUCCCCGAAGGGAAGACCCUAUUUCUAGGGCUGUCCUCCGUUGUCUAGCCCGGGUAAGGUUCUUCGCGUUGCGUCGAAUUGAACCACAUGCUCCACCGCUUGUGCGGGCCCCCGUCAAUUUCUUUGAGUUUUAACCUUGCGGCUGUACUCCCCAGGCGGAGAGCUUAAUGCGUUAGCUGCGUCACCGACACGCAUGCGUGCCGACAACUAGCUCUCAUCGUUUACAGCGUGGACUAC
rnacentral:misc_RNA from 1 species